GGUAAGAUGGUCGAGAUAGGCGGUGGGUUGUAACCCCACACACAGAGGUUCAACCCUCUUCUUACCA
rnacentral:tRNA from 1 species